rnacentral:rRNA from 1 species
AACGAACGCUGGCGGCAUGCCUAACACAUGCAAGUCGAACGAGACCUUCGGGUCUAGUGGCGCACGGGUGCGUAACGCGUGGGAACCUGCCCUUAGGUUCGGAAUAACUCCCCGAAAGGGGUGCUAAUACCGGAUAAUGUCUUCGGACCAAAGAUUUAUCGCCUUUGGAUGGGCCCGCGUUGGAUUAGCUAGUUGGUAGGGUAAAAGCCUACCAAGGCUACGAUCCAUAGCUGGUCUGAGAGGAUGAGCAGCCACACUGGGACUGAGACACGGCCCAGACUCCUACGGGAGGCAGCAGUGGGGAAUAUUGGACAAUGGGCGAAAGGCUGAUCCAGCAAUGCCGCGUGAGUGAUGAAGGCCUUAGGGUUGUAAAGCUCUUUUACCCGGGAUGAUAAUGACAGUACCGGGAGAAUAAGCUCCGGCUAACUCCGUG